UGGUUUUCCUUCCUGAUGCCCACUGGGCAAGGCACAGGGCUGGCCCGUCCACCAGCUCCGAGGAUACAAGACCCUUCUGAAAGGAAUUUCUGGGAAAUUCAACAGUGGAGAGCUGGUGGCCAUCAUGGGUCCUUCCGGGGCUGGGAAGUCCACGUUCAUGAACAUCCUGGCCGGUUACAGGGAGACUGGCAUGAAGGGCGAGGUCCUCAUCAACGGCCUCCCGCGGGACCUACGCUGCUUCCGGAAGGUGUCCUGUUACAUCAUGCAGGACGACGUGCUGCUGCCACACCUGACCGUGCACGAGGCCAUGAUGGUGAGUGUCCUGGGGCC